rnacentral:rRNA from 1 species
CAGGCCUAACACAUGCAAGUCGAGCGGUAACAGGGGAAGCUUGCUUCCCGCUGACGAGCGGCGGACGGGUGAGUAAUGCUUAGGAAUCUGCCCAGUAGUGGGGGAUAGCCCGGGGAAACCCGGAUUAAUACCGCAUACGUCCUACGGGAGAAAGCAGGGGAUCUUCGGACCUUGCGCUAUUGGAUGAGCCUAAGUCGGAUUAGCUAGUUGGUGGGGUAAAGGCCUACCAAGGCGACGAUCCGUAGCUGGUCUGAGAGGAUGAUCAGCCACAUCGGGACUGAGACACGGCCCGAACUCCUACGGGGGGCAGCAGUGGGGAAUAUUG